AGGCCGGCGGUCGGGGUUUGGGGGAGUCUGCAGUCGGGAGUGAGGAGUUGAGGAAGGAGCGCUCGAGUUUCCGAGGGACAUUGGAACGCGGAGCUGUCCGUCACGCUCUCAUCUGCAUAUUCUGGUGCCCGCCCCCUCCCCUGCUCCGCCCGCUGCCGAGGCCCGGCCGAGGCCGGGGGAGGGGCAGAGAGCCGAUGGGAGGGGAGUGCAGGGGAAGGCGGAGGAGUGGCAGCGAGCGGCAGGAGGGAGGGACGGGCAGGCUUUUGUGGCGCAGCCGCCACUCGCAGCCCGCCGCUCGGAAGCUCGGCCUGGCCAAACUGGGCGUAGCGCUCCCCCCCCUCCCACAGGCACGUCUUCUCAGCCACGUCCGCGCACCCCGCGGCCGCCGACUCCAGCCUCGGCCCAGCCACCUUCCUCACUCCCCCAGCCCCGGCGCUCUGGCUCGCCUCGCACUGGUUUGCAAUGGCCUUCUACAGCCAGGCCGGGUCCGAUCCACCUGGGGGAUGGACGGAUCAGGCACCCCUCGUCACCUUGAAGAUACCGGCCCAGGCUCCACCCCGUGUCCAGUGCAGACGCCGCAGGGAGCUGGAUACCUGCAGAGUUGCUGGGCAGUCUCACUUCUACAGUCCUCUGUCCGCCUAGCCUCAAGGCCCAGGCUGCCCGCGUGGCCUCGCUCUCGUCUGGUUUUUGCCCGCUCCUGGCGCCUAUGCUGCCAAGCAUCGAACCGGAACCGGAGAGUUUUUGGUUUGGAGCUGUUCCCGGGAGGCCCCUAGAUGACACGGCUUCUGCCCCCAAGUACACAGAGAAGAUUUCAGGCCGUGUGUUAGCAACUUCAUGCCUAUUAACGUCUGGAACGCGUCAACUAGUUUCCUGCCCUGGUGUCAGUGGGGUGUGCCUUACCUUCCGCUUCUGACCUCUGCCAAGGAUGGAAGAGAAAGCAGCCAGUUCUUAUAAAACCCAGCGGAUUGGAGCAAGUCCUUACGCCUAGAUGCAGCUGAUUUGGACAUUAUUAACUACAUAACCAGACAAGUGUGCCUUGCUUUGGAGGGUCUCCUGUCCACAAACUUCCCGGAAGUGCAGCCCCACUGUUCACUGCUACCUAUCUUGACCAAGUCCCCUGUGUUUCCUCCAGCAAUUACCCUCCACCAAAAUCUAAAAUUGCGGUCCUGCUGCCUGUUGCUAAUAAAAACUGGCUACCUUGUGCAAUUAAACAGUUGAAUCUGA